GACGAACGCUGGCGGCGUGCUUAACACAUGCAAGUCGAACGGAAAGGCCCUUCGGGGUACUCGAGUGGCGAACGGGUGAGUAACACGUGGGUGAUCUGCCCUGCACUUUGGGAUAAGCCUGGGAAACUGGGUCUAAUACCGAAUAGGACCACGCGCUUCAUGGUGUGUGGUGGAAAGCUUUUGCGGUGUGGGAUGGGCCCGCGGCCUAUCAGCUUGUUGGUGGGGUAAUGGCCUACCAAGGCGACGACGGGUAGCCGGCCUGAGAGGGUGACCGGCCACACUGGGACUGAGAUACGGCCCAGACUCCUACGGGAGGCAGCAGUGGGGAAUAUUGCACAAUGGGCGCAAGCCUGGUGCAGCGACGCCGCGUGAGGGAUGACGGCCUUCGGGUUGUAAACCUCUUUCAAUAGGGACGAAGCGCAAGUGACGGUACCUAUAGAAGAAGCACCGGCCAACUACGUG
rnacentral:rRNA from 1 species